rnacentral:rRNA from 1 species
UACGUAGGGUGCAAGCGUUGUCCGGAAUUAUUGGGCUAAAGAGCUCGUAGGCGGUUGUCGCGUCUGCUGUGAAAACUCGGGGCUAACCCGGCCUGCAGUGGGUACGGGCAGACUAGAGGUGCGGUAGGGGAGACUCGGAAUUCCUGGUCGUAGCGGUGAAAUGCGCAGAUAUCAGGAGGAACACCGGUGGCGAAGGCGGGUCUCUGGGCCGAACCUGACG